rnacentral:rRNA from 1 species
UACGUAGGGUGCGAGCGUUAAUCGGAAUUACUGGGCGUAAAGCGUGCGCAGGCGGUUUUGUAAGCCAGAUGUGAAAUCCCCGGGCUUAACCUGGGAAUGGCAUUUGGGACUGCAAGGCUGGAGUUUGGCAGAGGAGACUGGAAUUCCUGGUGUAGCAGUGAAAUGCGUAGAUAUCAGGAGGAAUACCGAUGGCGAAGGCAGGUCUCUGGGCUAUAACUGACGCUCAUGCACGAAAGCGUGGGGAGCAAACAGGAUUAGAGUACCCG